rnacentral:rRNA from 1 species
AUUGAACGCUGGCGGCAGGCCUAACACAUGCAAGUCGAGCGGAUGAAGGGAGCUUGCUCCUGGAUUCAGCGGCGGACGGGUGAGUAAUGCCUAGGAAUCUGCCUGGUAGUGGGGGAUAACGUCCGGAAACGGGCGCUAAUACCGCAUACGUCCUGAGGGAGAAAGUGGGGGAUCUUCGGACCUCACGCUAUCAGAUGAGCCUAGGUCGGAUUAGCUAGUUGGUGGGGUAAAGGCCUACCAAGGCGACGAUCCGUAACUGGUCUGAGAGGAUGAUCAGUCACACUGGAACUGAGACACGGUCAAGACUCCUACGGGAGGCAGCAGUGGGGAAUAUUGGACAAAGGGCGAAAGCCUGACCCAGCCAUGCCGCGUGUGUGAAGAAGGUCUUCGAAUUGUAAAGCACUUUAAGUUGGGAGGAAGGGCAGUAAGUUAAUACCUUGCUGUUGUGACGUUACCAACAGAGUAAGCACCGGCUAACUUCGUG